CGCCAGACCGUGCAUAAGUCUCCUGGAAUGGAGCGUCAUAGAGGGUGAGAAUCCCGUCUUUGGCACGGACACCUGGUGCUUCUGUGAUGCGCUCUCGAAGAGUCGAGUUGUUUGGGAAUGCAGCUCAAAAUGGGUGGUGAACUCCAUCUAAAGCUAAAUAUUGGCGAGAGACCGAUAGCGAACAAGUACCGUGAGGGAAAGAUGAAAAGCACUUUGGAAAGAGAGUGAAACAGUACGUGAAAUUGUUGAAAGGGAAACGCUUGAAGUCAGUCGCGUCGACCGAGACUCAGCCUUGCCUUGGCUCGGUGUACUUCUCGGCCUGACGGGUCAGCAUCGAUUUUGCCCCUCGGAUAAUGGCAGGAGAAAGGUGGCACCUUUGCGGGUGUGUUAUAGUCUCUUGUCGCAUGCGAGGGUCAGGAUCGAGGAACUCGGCGUGCACCUUGGUGUCGGGGCUUUGGCCCACGCAACGCGCUUAGGAUGCUGGCGUAAUGGCUUUAAACGACCCGUCUUGAAACACGGACCAAGGAGUCCAACAUGCCCGCGAGUGUUCGGGUGGAAAACCCGUGCGCGUAAUGAAAGUAAAAGUUGGGACCUCUGUCGUAGAGGGCACCGACGCCCGGACCAGACCUUCUGUGACGGAUCUGCGGUAGAGCGUGUAUGUUGGGACCCGAAAGAUGGUGAACUAUGCCUGAAUAGGGUGAAGCCAGAGGAAACUCUGGUGGARGCUCGUAGCGAUUCUGACGUGCAAAUCGAUCGUCAAAUUUGGGUAUAGGGGCGAAAG
rnacentral:rRNA from 1 species